CUGUUUGAGGUUUGGGAAAAUAAACACUAUAUUUACAUUAAGUGUAGAGAGAGAAAGGGAGCCUUUCCGGUACAAUGUCAAACAGGAAAACAACUCACAAGUUUUGUAACAGGGUGGAGGCACCAUCUGCCAAGAUCCCCUUUACGAUGAGCUCAAAAGCAUAAUUCAUCUUCGGAGGAGUGUAUGGCACCAGCUUCAUGCAGAGUGUGUCCCGCCUGCUCUAGCAGAGCUUUGACUUCUCUCAUGCUUCGGAUCAUGCUGGGUGUGGAUUGCGUCAAGCAGUCGCUUUCAAUGUAGCCGAUCCUCAGAGGUUUGGAGCUCUUGUACAUCUGAUAAACACAAAGGGAAUCUGCUUGUCGUGACGGAGCGGUUGUUGCUGGACACACGACGGACUCUUGGAAAAAGAAGUGCCACGUGCCUGGCGACCCUUCCAGUUGAGAAUGUGAAGACAUCCACCAGUUCGGAAUUAUGACAACAGGACAUCUGCUGAUUGGAGUAAGUGUUGCUCUGGUUUGCAGACAAAUUGGAAGUUGCUGGCAGUCUUCAAAGUACUCCAAAGCUGCCACAAAUGAUUGGAGGAUGCGGGAAGAACUGUGGACACUUUUGUGAUUUGGAUAACAUUGAACUAUUUACCCUGCAGGAUGAAUAUUGAGGACCAGUCAGACAAUUUAAAAUGAAAAGCAAAUUUGGAUUGUUUCCCUGGCUUCGAAACUCUCCUGAAGGACAGUGCGGAAAAGACACAAACUCCCUUCCUGUCUCUCAUGGACACACCCGUUGUUGUUGUUGACUUUGAACCGACUAGCAGCAGCACAACACCAAGGCCAUGGAAUAGAGACACGCAGCAGGCUUACACACACACAUGCAUCAACAAAAAUAUACGCCACACACACUUACCCCGUCCAACGCCCUAAACGCGAAUCCCUUAGGGGUGAUGGACGGCUGGGCAGCGCCUGAAGAGCUGCAGCUUUCCACCGUAGCCCUUCCACUCUCCCCUCUGUUGCAAAUCUCGAGAUGUACGUUGUAUUAUGUAUACGUGCUUUGCAAUGGAGUUUUUUUUCCCAUUCCAUACUGGGCCCCCUUAAGAACCCAGUCUAGAUUGUAUUUUUUUUUACUCAUCCUCCCCCAGCGUUUACCUUUUUCCCAUCUUUUACGGAGUGCCUUGUGGCGACCCAUCAGCGUUCCUGUUCUGUAACCCUGUACACUGUUUAUUUGUCUAAUAUAACGGGUUUGUGCUGAAAACAAAGUUUUGUUGUACUUGUGCAAUGACAAUAAAGACCUACCUACCUA